rnacentral:lncRNA from 10 species
GGUUGGUCUCGAUCUCCUGGCCUCAAGCGAUCCUCCCAUCUUGGCCUCCCAAAGUGCUGGGAUGACCAAUGUGAGCCAGCACCAUUGGCACCUCUCAACCAGGCCCUCUCUCAUCAAAUAGUUAACCUGCCUCCCAAGCCUACUCAGAUAUCACUGCGGCCAGAACCAAUGAGAUGGAUGGAUGGAUGUCAACAGGGCACUUCACAACAAAGGAAUGUGGCCUACAGCACAACUCACCCCAGCCCAGCCCUCCUAGCAGGUAGAUUGCCCAGCCCUUGGGCAAUCCCAGGCUGCUCUGCAACACAGAUGACCUCUUGAGGGACUUGCCUCCUGUUACCUGCUGAGCAGCGAGUCCCACACCUAAGUGAGGUGGAGGAGAGGCACCACCAUCAGUCCUCAUGAAUCACUGGCCAGGCUCCUUCUCUUUGUCCCUCCCCAACAAAUGCCAAGCAUCUGCACUAAAGCAAGACUCUGGCUUGACCCCAGCCUCAAAGGGAAAAUGGGGUUUGCACAUGGACUUUCGGCUCCAUUCAUGAAAGCAUAGAUACGUGUGAUUAUAACAAGGAUAUGAGCUUGGAUGCAGCAGGCUGUUAAACACCAUGCCAGGAGGACGCCACUCCAUUUAACCCCUGAGGCCACUGUGGGGCCAGCUGUGAGUCAGGCUUUGACCUUGGCCACCUUCCUAAUUUAGAGUGGCAGCUGCCCACCCAAAUUAGCUGCCCCACGUUCAGCCUCAGCUCUGCUGUUCAAAUGCCUCUAUCUACUUAGGUUCUUUGGAAAACAAUUCUGAGGUUGUUUUCUUUUCUUUUUUGUUUUUUGUUUGUUUGUUUUUGUUUUGUUUUGAGGCAAGGUCUCACUCUGUCGCCCAGGCUGGAGUGCAGUGACAUGAUCUCAGCUCACUGCAGCCUUGACCUCCCAGUCUCAAACAAUCUUUCCACCUCUCAGCCUCCUGAGUAGCUGGGGGAGUACAGGUGUGCACCACCAUGACUGGCUAAUUUUUUCCAUUUUUGUAGAGAAAAGUUUUGCCAUGUUGCUCAGGCUGGUCUCGAACUCCUGGACUCAAGCUAUCAAUCCACCCACCUUGGUCUCCCAAAGUGCUGGGAUUACAGGCAUGAGCCAUUGCACCUGGCUUGUUUUCUUGUUUAACUGUUUUUAAGCCAUAUAUGUUCAAACAGUGCAAACUAUGGUGAAAAGUAAGUCUCCCUCUCACCCUUAACCUCCGUCCUCUGCCUCCCUCCUCUGAGGGAAUCAUUGCCACCAGUGGCUGGAGGGUCCUUCCCCAGAAUAGUCCCCACAUACAAGCCCACACCCCAAAAUGCCCGCUUCCCCCACCAUGGGAGUCCAGAGCACAGUUCACAUGCUAUCCUGUGCUUUGCUUUUCACACUUCACCCUGUUGGAAAGCUCUCCACGUCAUGCAUACACACUUGUCCUUCUAUGGUUGUACUUUUUUCAAAGAGUGGACCCAACUGAUUGAACCAGUUCCCUAUUAACAGGUAAUCGAGUUAUUUCUAGUCUUUUGUGACCACCAUACUUCCAAGAAUGCCCUUAUACCUAGAUCUUUUAUCUCAUUAAAGGUGGUAGUGACUAUUCCUAAAAGUGGAACUGCCAGUGUUUUUAAAUGUUUAAAUUUAAAUUUAAACAUUAAAAAAUAUUGGGUUAGGAACCACCACUCUUUUGAAAAUUUCACGUAAAAUACCAGUUCUUUCUCGAGAAACAAACAAAACAAAACAAAAUAAACUAUGUGAUGAUUUUGCAUUCAGUUACUAGAGGGAGGCUCAUAGAUGGCACAUUAAGAAGUCUUGGUAGAGAGGAAGAGAACAGGUGCAGGAAAAUUGUAUCCGACCCUCACUUCCCUGUGUGCAUAAGUGUUUUGAUUUGGUCAUCACAGAGGAAGCUGACAGUUUGUUCUGCUGAGACACACAGUGGAGUUCAGUUCUGAUUCCAAAAGUCAGAUUCCUGAUCAUAUUCUGCCACUAGAGUACAUACCUCUCACCGUGGUCAUACUCUGGACCUCGGACUCCCAGAAUGUGGCUGCUGAGCAGAAGUGCGUCUGGGGCUGCUCCACACGGUGCUGCGCUGGGACACUGGGGCCUGCUGCAGACCCUCCCUGCAGCUGCUGCCUUGGGACUGUGAAACCAGAGUCUGCUAGGAAGGCUCUGCAACUCACACGCUCAGUUAGGCUUUAAUAUUUUAUGCCAGCUGCCAAUAAGGACUCAGGUGACAAGAGUCACUUCAGGAAAGGAGCGUGCAGAAAGCAUGGACCCCGUCAUCUCUCAUUCAGGGUCCGCAUCAGACUAAAGCGAUCCCACAAGAGAAAAGCUAAAAGGAAGCAGAGCCGUGAACAGCCUGUGGCUGGUGGGAGCCUGGCGUCAGCGAGCUCAGGGUCUCACUUCAGUGACUUGGCAGCCAGUAGCUUCCCUUGGGCCAUGGCCACAGGCCACAUCUCAGUGUCUGGUUGGCUCUACGUCCAAGGCCACUGCCGGCUGCAGAGACGUGGUGAGGGCUGAGGCCAGACAGCUGAGGGCCCUGGCUGACCUGCUGGCCCAUUCACCUGAACAAGGUUCACCCAGGGCAGUUUCCACAAAUCCGGAGCAGAGCCAGAGAGCCAGCCCAUGCCUGGCACAGAGGAGACGCUCAACACCUGUCAUCCCUUCCCUUCUCCUGCCUGUCCCUCAGAGUUCCUGGAGCUUCCGUUCUGCUGAGCCUCAUGCUGCCCAUGCGACACAUCACGACCAUUUUCAGGACCACAACCUCCCUGUCCCAUGGCCGUUUUCUGAGGUCUAGAAGUCACCCCCUUGGGCUUAAGCAACCACGAGGCCAUGGAUGGUCACAAAUUUCCCUGGGCUGCACUCCACAAACCCUCCAGUGGGCACAGCACGUGUCUCUCACAUUUUGGAGAGAAAGGAACUGAGAACUCCCAUUUCUGGAACCCCAUGCCAGUUCUAGAAGGUUCCAUCCUGAAGAUGAAAGCUGAUUUGUCAUCUGUGGUGUGUCCCAAGAAAAGAAAAAUACCUCAUUUUGUACUGAGCACUAACUACACACCAGGUGCCUAUUGAAGCCUCUGAGGGUCAUGUCCAUCAAAGAAUCCUCCAGCCUCUUCCCCAGUAUCAAAGCAACCACUCAGGGUAAUCUCACGGAGCUGCAGAGUUGACGUCUGUCCUUGGAAGGGUCAUGGCCAGACGGCCACUCAGCCACAGGCAUUUGCCCAGCUGGCCACAAUCCCUGUGGGCAAGUGUCCCAGGCUCAAUUUUUGGCCUUCCAAGAAGCCAUUGGAGCAGAGGAGCUACAUUUCUGGGGCCAAGUCAUUCAUAAGAGAAGAGGAACAAGGCAAGCCGGGAAACAUGCUUGCCCCUCAACUGGGAGAGGCAAGAGAAGAUGACCAAGAUCAUCCAAAAGAACAUUCCAGCUUUUCUUCUUUGCCUGAAAGAAAACAAUUGACAGCCUCUACCAGGGAAUUAUGUCCUCGAAAGGCCAGGUACAGUCAUGGGAGAGAUGCUGCCUCUUCCCCAAAGGCACAAUAGCACCGAUAUUUGAAGAGUCAGUGAUAGACGAUUUCAUCAGAAGGUUCUGGCAACAGAAACUACCAAACGACUUAUUUUAAAAACAAAACAAAAUGGAAAAUAUUAAAAUCCAAUCAGCUCAUUGAUCACCAGGGAGAAAGAAAAUGAACAUGUGUCUCUUGUACUCAGCCUGCUCUAAAAUAUGAAACUGGAAUGUGUUUCAGAAAGCAACAAAGAUGUGAGUAUGGAAUAUUAAAGCACUAUGAUAAUUUGAUAGUACAAUUUUCCUUUGUGGAUUUCCUGUAGUGACCAAUAUUAAUAUAAUAGGAGUGAACAUCUACUGGGUACUUAUUACAUAUUAGCAUUUUCUAUGGUAUUUUAUUAGGUUACAGAACAACCCAAUGAGGAAAGUACUACUCUUGUCAGCCCUGUUUCAUAGACUAGGAACAGAGGAACCGUGAUUCACCCAAAGUUUUGAGUGAUUCACCCAAAGUUUUGUGGCUAAUAAAACUCCAUUCCAGCCCAGGCGCAGUGGCUCAUGCCUGUAAUCCCAACACUUCGGGAGGCCGAGGCAGGCAGAUCACUUGAGGUCAGGAGUUCAAGACCAGCC